UGUUCAGGGUGGUGCUUUGGGGUGCUCUGUCCCCAUGGAGUCUUCAACCAAUAGCAGCUGGAAUGGGCUCCAUCCGUGAGACAGGACGGAGGCAGAGAGUUUGCAGUUCCAACCCUGACAGCUAAAGAGCAGAAGACCACAGGUCCCAGAGACCUGUCAGUAAGGACCUGCCCCUUCCUGGGCUGUGGACUUUCUAUUUUGGACAAUCUAAGCGAACAAUAUUGGGCUUCCCCUAAGUGACUGAUUUUCUGUAAAGGCAAAACCACCAAAUUAGCACCUCACACAUGAACUCAUUCAUCUGGCAACUAGGCCAAACCCAACCAAAGACUUUUGUCCGCAAGUUUCCAGGACAGUUUGUUUAUGGUCAGAGUCUUAGAGAAGGGAAUGAACUGCAGGGUCCACUUACAAAAUUUACAAUUUGAGAAACCCUAGUUGCCUCAGCAUCAGUUAUGCCUCUUUGCACCUGAACUGGGACCAAAUGAACAGAAGCAACAGUGAAUGAGUGUUGAAGAGGGUGUGGGAUAUGAUGAGGUUUCUCUUCAAAUAACCUGAUCAAUCUUUUAUCCUUUAGUUCUUGGUACCCCCCUCCCUCCUUUUUUCCCUUUUCUCCUUUUUUUUCUUCCUGCCUUUGUUAGAUGCCCAGGCACGCCGCGAUACCAGGCAUUAUCAAUACCGGCUCACAUUCCUUUCCUUAUUAAAAAAAACAACAACUAACUUUCUAGCUAAUUAACAGACACCCCUUCCCCUUUCCUCUCUGCUUUCUUUUACGUGCCCACCUUAUCUUAAAAAAAAUAAAAUGUUUAGCCAACCGCGAUUAUUUUAUAUGGUAUAACCCAAUCCCAGCCAAUAGAAAAAGAGUACAAAGGCAGGACUUGGUCAAAAAUGAAGACUUUCAUGCCGCU
rnacentral:lncRNA from 1 species